UACGGAGGGGGCUAGCGUUGUUCGGAAUUACUGGGCGUAAAGCGCGCGUAGGCGGAUCUGCAAGUCGGGGGUGAAAUCCCGAGGCUCAACCUCGGAACUGCCUUCGAUACUGCGGGUCUCGAGUCCGGGAGAGGUGAGUGGAAUUCCUAGUGUAGAGGUGAAAUUCGUAGAUAUUAGGAAGAACACCAGUGGCGAAGGCGGCUCACUGGCCCGGUACUGACGCUGAGGCGGCGAAAGCGUGGGGAGCAAACAGG
rnacentral:rRNA from 1 species